rnacentral:misc_RNA from 1 species
CCGAGUUUACAAGUCGGUCGACCGUGCUGGCGGAGACGCAUGUGCACGUCGGUCGCAAAUCUCAUCCACACACCUGUGAACGUAUGGCCUCUGGGUACUUGUGACCUGGGGGCAAACCUUUUUCACCCACUCUGAUUGUAAAGGAAUGUCAUGUGUGCGAAACGCGCAAAAUAAAA